AACCGCACAGAGUCAAACUGGUGGAUCCGCAGAGUCCGCGCGGGGAAUUCAGCCCGGCAGGCGGGGCCGCGCGCCGGCCGAGAUUCGUCUCGGACCUGGCUGGCGCGCAGCGUACUCGCAGGCAGGGUGCACUUUCCCCGGCUAGCGGAAGGCCACGACCGGUUCGGUGGCGGUCAGGAGCCCGGAGGGGAGGUAGCCGUGAUCGGUAUAAUCCGAUCGCGGAACGUACAGCCCUCCGAGGUGGACUCGCCGCUGGACCGAGGAUGCCGCGGUGGCCUCACGCCGCGGGCCGUCCGGGAGCGUUCGACUUUGGCCACGCUGCUCGCAGCGGGUCGAGACCGCGCGCCUGGUACGGGCUCGCGAUCGUGGGUCGCCCAGGGUCAGUGGCGAAUCGGUCGGCAACCCACCAGACCCGUCUUGAAACACGGACCAAGGAGUCUAGCAUGUGCGCGAGUCACGGGGUCUCUCGAAACCCAAGGGCGCAAUGAAAGUGAAGGCCGCCUCCGGCUGGCCCAGGCAAGAUCCCGAGUCGUUCGCGACGAGGGCGCACUGCCGGCCCGUCUCGCUGGCAUCGACCACGAGGCGGAGCAAGAGCGCACACGCUGG
rnacentral:rRNA from 1 species